AGGUCUCAGCUUAACUGUCACUGCCCAGGGAGACCUUCCCUCAGCCGCACAGCAGGCUGGCUCACUCUAUGUUGCUUGACCAAAGGCUGAAAAAAUUAUGAUAUAAAAUGAUAAGGAACUGAAGACACAGCUUUUGGAAAAGCUGAAAGCCUCUUUGAUGUUGGAAGCACACCCUGUCACGCAUAGCGUGCUGGGUAAGAAGAUGGCUGAAGACGACUUUACAGACAGGAUAAUCGCUCCAGUAGACAGAUGGAAGGGGGAAGGGGGUCUGGCUUUGUACCUGUAAGUGCAGCUGCACCUUCCUUGAUGAAGCUGUUCUGCACUCUAGAAUCUCUCAUUCGGUUUGCUCAAGUAAUCCAGAUUUGAAUAAACAGUCACUGUGUGGAAGCUAA